rnacentral:rRNA from 1 species
AACGUCACAUGGCGAAGGGGUCAAAGGAGCAAUCCGGUGAAGGGUGGGCUCGCGUCCGAUUACAUAGUUGGUGAGGUAACGGCCCACCAAGUCGACGAUCGGUAGCCGACCUGAGAGGGUGAUCGGCCACAUUGGGACUGAGACACGGCCCAGACUCCUACGGGAGGCAGCAGUGGGGAAUAUUGGGCAAUGGGGGAAACCCUGACCCAGCAACGCCGCGUGGAGGAAGAAGGUCUUCGGAUCGUAAACUCCUGUCCUAAGAGACGAGCAGGAGACGGUAUCUUAGGAGGAAGCCCCGGCUAACUACGUGCCAGCAGCCGCGGUAAUACGUAGGGGGCAAGCGUUGUCCGGAAUGAUUGGGCGUAAAGGGCGCGUAGGCGGCCUUUCAAGUCUGAAGUGAAAUUCCCGUUUUUAAGAUGGGAACUGCUUUGGAAACUGUAAGGCUUGAGUGCAGGAGAGGUCAGUGGAAUUCCCAGUGUAGCGGUGAAAUGCGUAGAGAUUGGGAGGAACACCAGUGGCGAAGGCGACUGACUGGACUGUAACUGACGCUGAGGCGCGAAAGUGUGGGGAGCAAACAGGA